rnacentral:ncRNA from 1 species
AGUUUCAGGGCGAGGUGAAAUUCCUCACUGGCGGUAAGUGGUUUACUACCAACAAGUCCGCGAGCCGGGUAUGCGUCAGCAUCGAUGGCAGAAUGGGUGUGAUUCCCAUACCAACGGUACAGUCCGGAUGGAAGAAA